GCUGAGUCUUGUGGUUGAUGUGC
rnacentral:miRNA from 1 species